rnacentral:rRNA from 1 species
CCUACGGGAGGCAGCAGUGGGGAAUAUUGCACAAUGGGGGAAACCCUGAUGCAGCGACGCCGCGUGAGUGAAGAAGUCUCUCGGUACGUAAAGCUCUAUCAGCAGGAAAGAAAAUAACGGUACCUGCCUAAGCAUACGCGUCUAACUACUUGCCACCAGCGGCGGUAAUACGGCGGGGGCAAGCGUUAUCCGGAUUUACUGGGGGGAAGGGAGCGUAGACGGGGCUGCAAGUCCGGAGUGAAAGCCCACGGCUGAACCAUGGUACUGCUCUGGAAACUGUAGAGCUUGAGUGCGGGAGGGGCAGGCGGAAUUCCUAGUGUAGCGGUGAAAUGCGUAGAUAUUAGGAGGAACACCGGCGGCGAAGGCGGCCUGCUGGACCGUAACUGACGCUGAGGCUCGAAAGCGUGGGGAGCAAACAGGAUUAGAUACCCCAGUAGUC